GUCAGGAUGGCCGAGUGGUCUAAGGCGCCAGACUCAAGUUCUGGUCCGGCGUGGGUUCAAAUGCCACUUCUGACA